rnacentral:rRNA from 1 species
UAAUACAGAGAGUGCGAACGUUGUUCGGAAUUACUGGGCUUAAAGAGUACGUAGGCGGCAUGACAAGUGUUAGGUGAAAUCCCACGGCUUACCCGUGGAACUGCCUAGCAAACUGUCAAGCUAGAGUGUGGUAGGGGAGAACAGAACUCAUGGUGGAGCGGUGAAAUGCGUAGAUAUCAUGAGGAAUACCGGUGGCGAAGGCGGUUCUCUGGUCCACAACUGACGCUGAGGUACGAAAGCUAGGGUAGCGAACGGGAUUAGAUACCCCGGUAGUCCUAGCCGUAAACGAUGGGCACUAGCUUGGGGCCUCCCUGUGUGGUUCCAGGUGAAGCAAAAGUAAUAAGUGCCCCGCCUGGGGAGUAUGGUCGCAAGGCUG